rnacentral:lncRNA from 1 species
UCAGCCUCCUGAGUAGCUGGGAAUAUAGGUAUAUUCUGCUGUACCUGGCUAGAUGUUAAAAGCUAGUGGCUUUUAAGCUUUGUGCUAUACCACCUUUUUCAAGACCACUGAGUUCAGAUAGUGACCUCAGAGUGAGGACACAAUGGCACUCCAGCUCAGACAGGUCUCUGGGGAUAGUGACAGAAUUCUCUCUUCCCAGUGUCCACUCAAGGGACAGAAUUCUGUACCUUAGGCCAGAAUUUCCUCCAGUUCUUUCCAUCCCUUGGGCAACCUACAUAUCUGUGGCCUAUUCUAGGGGACUGGAAGUGACAGCUGAGACCUGCUUAGUGACGUGACAUCAUGGGAAUUUGAGAGCACAGGCUUUGAGGCUGGCAUGGUGAUAGUAAUUACUGGCCUCAGCAUGACGGGGAGGGUGACUGAGAUAAGCGCCUGGAAAGAGGCUGGCAGGGUGCCGGGCACUUAGAAGGCACCCGGUGUGGUGGAGAUGGUUGGCCUUGUGGAUUGUCCUGUAGUCUGUUAAUUCCUAGGACUGGAAUACUAAUUUUAUGGUUGGGGGAUACUUGAUAGAACUUGUUUCUGCAGGAUGAGAAGGAAAAUGCUCUGCAAAUUUGCAGAGCACUGACUAUAAAAAUUGAGACCAGAGAACUUACUAUAAGCUGGGUACCCUGGGAGGCACUGACAUAUAUCAUCUCACAAUCUUUGCAAACAACUCUAGGGAACGGGACACCCCUGUUACAGAUGAGGAGGCUGAGGAUCAGAGAUGAGCUUGCUCAAGGUCGCUUAGCUAAUUCUGUGGGUCAGGCAUUUAGGAAUGAAACAGUGGGAAUAGCUUGUUUCUACUCUGUGAUGUCUGGGCCUCAGGUGGGAAGACUUGAAUGACUGGGCGUGUUUUGAAUAGCUCAGAGCCUGAGCCAUCUGAAGCCUCUUUUACUCAUAUGUCUGGAACUGAGGCUGGAUGACUCAAAGGCAGGCCUCAGCUGGGACAGUUGAUUGGAGGACCUCCACAUGGCCUCUUCUUGCAUCUUGGGAUUCUUCAAGUCAUGGUGACCAAAUUCUAAGACGUUCUUGAGAUUGAACACAAGAGAACAUGUGUUCUGGGAGAACCAAGUGGAAGCUGAAUGGUCUUUUUCGACCUGGCCUUAGAGUCAGGCAGCAUCACUUGCUAGAGCAGAAUGCAGGCCUAAAAUCUGACCAGAGAAUUCAGUGGAGACAGAGAGCAAGAGCACGUCUGGAGAAAAGUGCCCCACUCCCCAACCCUGCCAGAGGAUGCUUAUUGAAGAGGCCACACCAUGGGUUCCGAAACAAGAGCCCAGUGGAGGAUCCCUGGAGGAGCAAAUAGAAGAAACCCAAAAGGGACUUGAAAGCGGGUCCCCUCCCUCACCUGGAUUCCCAGUCCGAAGAGGAGGAAGCAUCCGCCCUCCUUCCCUCCUUCUGACCCACCCAGCCACCCACCCAAGGUGCCAUUAAAGUUAAU